rnacentral:sRNA from 1 species
CCGGCCGCCAAAAGGGGCCGGCAUGAGCCGAGGAGGCGCCAAGCCUUUUUGGCACCUUCUUGUAAACCAUGUUGCUCAAAGGAGGAUAUGGCUAUGAGGA